UGCUUUACACAUGCAAGUCGAACGGCAGCACGGGUGCUUGCACCUGGUGGCGAGUGGCGAACGGGUGAGUAAUGCAUCGGAACGUAUCCAAUAAUGGGGGAUAACGCAUCGAAAGGUGUGCUAAUACCGCAUACGCCCUGAGGGGGAAAGUGGGGGACCGUAAGGCCUCACGUUAAUGGAGCGGCCGAUGUCAGAUUAGGUAGUUGGUGGGGUAAAGGCUCACCAAGCCAACGAUCUGUAGCUGGUCUGAGAGGACGACCAGCCACACUGGAACUGAGACACGGUCCAGACUCCUACGGGAGGCAGCAGUGGGGAAUUUUGGACAAUGGACGCAAGUCUGAUCCAGCCAUUCCGCGUGCAGGAUGAAGGCCCUCGGGUUGUAAACUGC
rnacentral:rRNA from 1 species